rnacentral:misc_RNA from 1 species
AACGCACGAGACCUGCGGACCUGCGGAGGGAUCAUUACAGAGUUUACAACUCCCAAACCCAUGUGAACCUACCUUUACGUUGCUUCGGCGGAGCCGCCCCGGCGCCCGGAAGCCCUCCCAGCGGGGGUUCUUCGCGGCCCGGACCCAGGCGCCCGCCGGAGGUCACAAAAACUCUUUCUGUUUCUUACAGUUUCUUCUGAGUGUGCCGCAAGGCAACAAAAACAAAUGAAUCAAAACUUU